rnacentral:rRNA from 1 species
UACGUAGGGGGCAAGCGUUGUCCGGAAUCAUUGGGCGUAAAGAGCGCGUAGGCGGUCCGGUAAGUCCGCUCUGAAAGCCCGGGGCUCAACCCCGGGAGGCGGGCGGAUACUGUCGGGCUAGAGUCCGGAAGAGGCGAGUGGAAUUCCUGGUGUAGCGGUGAAAUGCGCAGAUAUCAGGAGGAACACCGAUGGCGAAGGCAGCUCGCUGGGACGGUACUGACACUGAGACGCGAAAGCGUGGGGAGCAAACAGG